rnacentral:rRNA from 1 species
CCUACGGGAGGCAGCAGUAGGGAAUCUUCCACAAUGGGCGAAAGCCUGAUGGAGCAACGCCGCGUGGGUGAAGAAGGUCUUCGGAUCGUAAAACCCUUUUUUUAGAGAAGUAAGUGCGGGAGAGUAACUGUUCACGUUUCGACGGUAUGUAACCAGAACGCCUCGGCUAACUACGGGCCAGCAGCCUCGGUAAUACGUAGGUGGCAAGCGUUAUCCGGAUUUAUUGGGCGUAAAGGGAACGCAGGCGGUCUUUUAAGUCUGAUGUGAAAGCUUUCGGCUUAACCGGAGUAGUGCAUUGGAAACUGGCAGACUUGAGUGCAGAAGAGGAGAGUGGAAUUCGAUGUGUAGCGGUGAAAUGCGUAGAUAUCUGGAAGAACACCAGUGGCGAAAGCGGCUCUCUGGUCUGUCACUGACGCUGAGGUUCGAAAGCGUGGGUAGCAAACAGGAUUAGAUACCCGAGUAGUC